rnacentral:rRNA from 1 species
UGGGGAAUUUUGGACAAUGGGCGAAAGCCUGAUCCAGCAAUGCCGCGUGUGUGAAGAAGGCCUUCGGGUUGUAAAGCACCUUUGUCCGGAAAGAAAUCCUUGGCUCUAAUACAGUCGGGGGAUGACGGUACCGGAAGAAUAAGCACCGGCUAACUACGUGCCAGCAGCCGCGGUAAUACGUAGGGUGCAAGCGUUAAUCGGAAUUACUGGGCGUAAAGCGUGCGCAGGCGGUUUGCUAAGACCGAUGUGAAAUCCCCGGGCUCAACCUGGGAACUGCAUUGGUGACUGGCAGGCUAGAGUAUGGCAGAGGGGGGUAGAAUUCCACGUGUAGCAGUGAAAUGCGUAGAGAUGUGGAGGAAUACCGAUGGCGAAGGCAGCCCCCUGGGCCAAUACUGACGCUCAUGCACGAAAGCGUGGGGAGCAAACAGGAUUAGAUACCCUGGUAGUCCACGCCCUAAACGAUGUCAACUAGUUGUUGGGGAUUCAUUUCCUUAGUAACGUAGCUAACGCGUGAAGUUGACCGCCUGAGGAGUACGGUCGCAAGAUUAAAACUUAAAUGAAUUGACGGGGUCAUAGCUGUUUCCU